UACGUAGGGUGCGAGCGUUGUCCGGAAUUAUUGGGCGUAAAGAGCUCGUAGGCGGUGUGUCACGUCGGCCGUGAAAACCUGCAGCUUAACUGUGGGCGUGCGGUCGAUACGGGCAUCACUGGAGUUCGGCAGGGGAGACUGGAAUUCCUGGUGUAGCGGUGAAAUGCGUAGAUAUCGUAAGGAAGACCAGUGGCGAAGGCGGCAUCCUGGACCAUUACUGACGCUGAUGAGCGAAAGCCAGGGGAGCAAACGGG
rnacentral:rRNA from 1 species